UCUCUGCUUGACAUGCUUUAGGCUUUCAUCAAAGGAAUGUGAUAGAAUGCGAGAAGAAUCUCUGGUGUCAAGAUCCGGGACUUCAUCCCUGUCAAGAGGCUUUUUGAUCCCAACUGCAAACAAAGGAUUCAUCCAAGAGAAGUGGGUCUGUAGUGCCAUGUGGGACAUCGAGGACAAUGUCCGUAUUCCCUCGAAUAGAUAUACCGAAUAGGCAUGUGGAUGCGAGAAGUCCAACGAUUUCAGCAAGAUACACGAAGUUAAGGGGAGCGUGGUUUGAAAUCAUGGAACGGGCUUCGAGAAUUGUGCUGCCAAGGGACAGUAAGAAGGUACAGCCCCACCAUGCUCUCAGAAUCCAGGGGAACUUUAGUGUCAGAAGCGUUGUGAUGUGAGUUCCCAGCAGCAAAAUGGUGCAACCAACGCUGACUUUGUAAGAGAGGCCGAAUUUUACCCCAACUGGGUAUUUCUCUACGCUUGUAAUCGCCUUCUUUUUUCUGCGGUUGCAGAAAGAGUCCACAGUGUUCCAAAAGACGUGGAGUAAUAGGAUUCCAACGAACCCUAGUUGCAGAACAAUGCUGGCAUUGUCCCGGAAGCAUGGAGAGCUGAGCUGUGGCCAUCCUGAUUGGAGCCAAAGAAUCUUCAAAUCUGUGACACACAACAAAAUAACACCAAAGCCUGUCUCAAGGGAGAACCUCAAAAUUUAUCAAAGCGGGUGGGAGCAAGAAGUCAGAGUCGUGCGAACUCUGUGUAAUGCAAGAAUAAGUGAUUGAAAGAUGGAACGUCUGCUACGAUUGCAAUGGUGAAGAAAAGCCCUUGUACUUUCCGAAACAUGAUAAAUAGUAGGAGAAAAACGUCAUGAGACUGAUUAGGUUUCCUUUCUUCAAAAAGGUCAUGAGACUGAUUAUGAGCCAAACAUCAUAUAGAUAUCUAUCUUUUGAGAGGCACGAUCCCUUUCCGAAUAAACUGUAUGAUAAGAAAAAAGGAGGAAAAUUACCUAUAAUCUUGUGAAAAAAAGAAAUGGUAAGA